GAAGACGAGCCUGGCCCCAAGGUAAGCUCACCUUUCUUGAUGUGAGGUUGGAAAAGGUGCCUCCUUUCUUCUUGGAUGUACCUCCUUCAGAAAUGGAAAUCUGAGAAAGUCCACUGUAGAUGAUAUAUGCAGAUUGCUGUGCGGAGGACUGUUGAGUCCAAGUUUGGUACCAAGCAGUAGCUCCUUCCCGGGGCAUUUGCAAAAGGGACCGCAUCAGUUCCCAAGUGUGCAGUAGGGAGCAUAUGUCUUUGAAGAAGCCGGAAUGUUGUUUUGUCUUGUUUGUCUUUUUUUGCCUUUUCUAGGGCCCCUCCCGCGGCAUAUGGAGAUGAGGUUCCCAGGCUAGGGGUCUGAUCGGAGCUGUAGCCACCGGCCUACGCCAGAGCCACAGCAACGUGGGAUCCGAGCCUCGUCUGCCACCUACACCACAGCUCAGGGCAGCGCCGGAUACUUCACCCACUGAGCAAGGCCAGGGAUCGAACCCGCAACCUCAUGGUUCUUGGUCCGAUUCGUUAACCACUGUGCCACGAUGGGAAGGCCAAAGAAGCCUGAAUGUUUGUUAAAUGUACGAGGACUUGGGAGAUCUUCCAUGAAAAGCUGGCGCCUUUUCCAAAGGGGUCUUCGCCGUGUUCUUUUGGGGAAACGGACUCAACGCUGCCUUCUGUCUGCGUGCCUGCGGUCCCCAACGGCAGGAAGACCUGUGGCCGCAGUGCAGAGGAUGCUGUGACACUCACCGUGUUUUCUCUUGUCUCAUCACAGGUGGACGGGGCGGACGAUGAAAUCUCUUGGAGCUUGGAGAGUGUGUGUGAGAGCGACCUCGCUGACAGCAACCUCGCAGAAAGUGAUCGAGGUAAGAACAGCUCUCAGGUAGGAGCCAGUGGGAGAGGGUUCCCGGGACACUUGGAACUUAGGCCUGCUGCUUGGAGGGUGGGGCGGGUGAGUGUGCAAUUGCAAAAGAGAAAGAAAUUGGUGUAAAGAUGUUCGUCGCCUAUGUUCCUAAGGAGGGGGAGCAGGUAUGAGAUGCCCGAAUGUUGGCAUCUGUGCUCACGUUGUGUUGGCGGGCCUCAGUCCCUGGAGCAGAGGGAAGGCCUGGGCACCUGGAGGAAAAACCCGGGUGAUGCUGUGUGACCCGCCGUCACCUCGGGGAAGCCGGGGAAACGGGAGGGCCACUCCUUCUCACGCCUCGCUUCCCCGCGGUGUGUUUCUACAGACUCGGUGGCGGAGCGCACCGACUGCCGCCAGGAUGAGGAGGCUGCAGGUAGGGAAGAGCACGCAGCUGGGAUCCAGGGGGAGAGGGUUCCUGGGAGCAGCUGGGUUCCACCUGCUGCCGGGAGGGCGGAAGGGGGCUAGGACUGGGUGGGUGGCCUACUG
rnacentral:lncRNA from 1 species